rnacentral:rRNA from 2 species
CUUCGGCAAUGGGCGAAAGCCUGACCGAGCAACGCCGCGUGAAUGAUGAAGGCCUUCGGGUUGUAAAAUUCUGUUAUAAGGGAAGAACGACUUUAGUAGGAAAUGGCUAAAGUGUGACGGUACCUUAUGAGAAAGCCACGGCUAACUACGUGCCAGCAGCCGCGGUAAUACGUAGGGGGCUAGCGUUAUCCGGAUUUACUGGGCGUAAAGGGUGCGUAGGUGGUUUCUUAAGUCAGAGGUGAAAGGCUACGGCUCAACCGUAGUAAGCCUUUGAAACUGGGAAACUUGAGUGCAGGAGAGGAGAGUGGAAUUCCUAGUGUAGCGGUGAAAUGCGUAGAGAUUAGGAAGAACACCAGUGGCGAAGGCGAUUCUCUGGACUGUAACUGACGCUGAGGCUCGAAAGCGUGGGGAGCAAACAGG